AUGAGCAGCUCUGGGGAGGAGGACAAGGCAGUUCAUGGUAGUAGCGCUCCCCCGGCCGCCGCUGCCCAGACUGUGGCGGUGCCGCACACGGGGCUCUGGAACUGCAGGCUCCGCGGGGCACAGUGCGCCUGCGCCGCCCCCGCUGUCGCUGUCCCGCCGGUGCUGAUGCUGAGGCUGCUGCUGAGGCUGCUACCGCGGCGGCGGGCGCCUAGGCGGGGGCUCCGCAUCUCUCCCCCUGCUGGGGAGCGCCAGAGCGAACUCAAGCCCACACUCUCCCAAUCCUCCUCAGCUCAGGCCCAGAGCCCUUCCCCGCGCCUUCGUCUCCAGGUCUCCUCGCCCACCCCUCUCGCGCGGCGAGCUCCCGGCUGCCCAGCGCAGCCCAACUUCUGCUGGGCUGUGCGCCUGGUGGUUGCUCCUCUCCCCGGAGAUCCAGAUAUGGUAAUUAGACCUUGUCCGUGAUAACCAAGAAUUCCAGUCCCAGAAGUGUUCACUGACUCCUAAAUCACAGCGGAAUGGAAGCUGGCUGAGUGAACUGCAGGUAUGUUCCAGUUAACCGAAACCAAUAUAAACAUGAAGGCUUAGAAAACUGAUGUAGGAAGUGAUGAUUUGGAAUUAUUACUGAUUCACUGAAGGACUUUUUUUUAAUCAAAUACCCCCCUCUGAAGAUUUUCUAAUAUAAUUUACUUGACAGUAGCUGUAAUUAUAUGUAAAUUUUCAAAAAUACAUUACAAACAGAUUCAGUUGGACUUACUCUUUGAUCCCUUAUGUGCAAAUGAUCCAACCACUACUUUCUCGGGAAAUUUUUCUCCUAUUUCCUGCUUUCUGUUUCUGAGCAAACCCCAGUACAGCUCCAAGUUACAACCUGUAUGUAGAUGCUAAAUGGGUGGCUCUGAUGGAGGAAUGGGAAGAAGGAAAAAAAAUAAAGGGGCAAAAGUGAUUCCCUAUCAUGGCCUCCAAGGUUGGCCUCCCUAGCAGCAGCAUCACUCCAUUCCAUUUUUUCCUCCCCAAGCCUCACUGCAUGCCUUUCCACAAAGCCCUCUUCCAGCUCUAGCAGUGAAGCAUAAAAGCAUUACUAAAUUCCUCUGCGUGCACCAAACCCCACAUUUACACCUAUAUCUUCUACCUUUCCUCCUGUCUGCUCCCUGCCCCACUCAGGAUGGAAGUUGAGAGAAAGCAGACUAGAAAGACCUAGUGCUUGGACUGCGGACCCAGACUACCUAGAAUUUAAUCUUGCCUCUCCACUUACUAGCUAUAUGACCCAGGGCAGAUUAUUUAACCACAACUUCCCUUUCUAUAAAAUGGGGACAAUAAUUACCUAUUUAAUAGUGCUGCUGUGGAGAUUAAGUUAGUUCCUAUUGGAAAGCAAUGCAGACAAUAUCUGACAGGUAAUAAGCACUAUGUAAGUAUUUGAAAGUAAAUACAUGAGCCUUUUCCUCCCCCUCUACUUUCAUUUACAGUGAAGGCUCUAGACAGUGGUCACUAAUAAGGUUCACCAAUAUCCAGUUGCCUUUUCCUGCUCUUUGAAAUUAGUGUGGCUAUGCAACUAAUGUUGGUCAAUGAAAUAGGAAUGAAGGGAAAGGGUGUUGCUUCCAGGUGAGCAUCUGAGUACUGGGACUUAUUUUCUCAUCCUCCUCUUCCCCUGCCUCAGUGACUAAGGAAUGCCAAGAAGUACAAGGAGAAUACCUGCCCAGAAGUGUUACCUAGACCUGCAGUAGACAUUAUACAAGCAGGAAGUAAACCUUUGUUGUGUUAAGACACUGACAAUCCAGCACUAUGUGUUACUGUGCCAUAACCUAGUCUAUCUAUGCUGGCUGGCACAGGUUAUUAACUUGCUUUGGGAACAGGAGAUUAGAGGAACAAUAGUUCUCCAUCCUGACUGCACAUUACAGUCACCCAGAGACUUUAUAAGAAUCCCAAAGCCACAGCCCAGACCAAGUAAAUCAAAAUUCCAAAGGAUGAGACACAGGCAUUACUAUUUUUUUUAAGUUCCCCAGGUGAUUUCUUUUUUCUUUUUUUCUUUUUUUUUUUUUUUUUUUUUUUUUUGAAAUGGAGUCUUGUUCUCUCACCAGGCUGGAGUGCAGUGGCACAAUCUCGGCUCACUGCAACCUCCACCUCUUGGGUUCAAGCAAUUCUCCUACCUCAGCCUCCUAAGUAGCUGGGACUACAGGCACGCGCCAACACACCCCACUAAUUUUUGUAUUUUUAGUACAAUCAGGGUUUCACCAUGUUGGCCAGGAUGGUCUCCAUUUCUUGACCUCGUGAUCCGCCCGCCUCAGCCUCCCAAAGUGCUGGGAUUACAGGCGUGAGCCACUGCACCCGGCCGUGAUUUCUAUAUGUAUCAAGGUUUAGAACCACUGACCUAGAACAAGGCUGCAUCCUAUGGGAAUCUCUGGGGUUUCAAUACUGUAUCAAAAUCCUCAGCUCCCAAGGAUCAUACCUUGAGUUUCACCUCUCCCACAAAGGCUCUAAUACAUGCAACUGUGAGUUUCUGUGUACUUGUAUCUGCCGAGGAGCCCAGAAGGGAACCACAAAAUCUCCCAGACUAAUGCAUCCUACAUUGAAGGCCUCCUGACUCAACUUGACCUUCUCAGUGCAGCCCAAUCCUUCUGUACAUCCUGAUCAGCUGCGUCUUCCAUUAUCUGUGUAGCUUUCUCAAAGCAUCUUGUCCCUUUUCACACCUCAGUUGUCACUUUUUCACCUCCCAGCCUCAGAAGAUGACUGAUAGAAAACAGGUCAUGCUGUCAAUUCUUAGACUUCCUGCCAUUGCUCUCUCUUCCUUUUCUUCUUUCUUCCAAACAAAUAGAAAGCAAUUUCUCUCACCAUCCCUCCAUCACUGAUCUGGAUCCUAUUCAUUUGGGCCUCUGGAAAGACCUCACUUUACUGACUGUCCCCUCAUUCCUCACUUUGACAAUUAACAUGCUUUAAAAAUGCUUUCUUAACUUGUUAUUUCCCUCAAGCUUUGGCUCUGUCUCUCCCAUCUAUUCACGGUCAAUCUUCUGAGGAGUCUGUGAUAGGUGUCUCCACUUUCUUGCCUCCUGUUCACUCCUUAACCCCAACAAAUUGGCCUCCUUUCAAUUGUCUUCCUGAAAUCGCCUCCCCAAAGGUAAUUUUUAAAUUGCCAAAUCCAGUGAGGCAAUUUCAUUGUUAAUUUACUUUACCCAGCUAUGACAUUUGAACCUGUUACUAAUCCUUUCUUCUUGAAACAUUCUCCUACCUUAGACUGACUGGUUUUGAAUACUGAUGCUAUAAUCUCAGCAUUUUCAUUAACCUAUCUGUGCCUCAGGGGGUUUUUUCUGUAAAAAAAUUAAUAAUGCCUACCUCAUAUAGUUAAUGUAAGAAUUAAAUGAGAUAGUACAGGUGGAGAAUCUUGCAUCCAGCUUUCUGAAAUAGAAAACUCUGACAUCCUACCAGGUUUUUUUUUCACAAUUUUUUUACCAACUCAUUUGCCAGUAAAACCUGACCUGAACUGUUAGGUGGCUAUUUGUACUCUUCUUUAUCCCAUCUGCUGUGGAUAUUGACC
rnacentral:lncRNA from 1 species